UUGCCCUGGCUGUCUGUGUACCUGUCCACCAGUCUGCCGAACGCGUCUGUCAGUCAGUAUGUCUGCCCCGAAGGGUCUCUUUCUGGUCCUCUUGAUCGCUGUGUGCGCUUGCCUCAACACAGCCUGUGGCGACUUUCGAAUUCGCCGCUUGCCCACUAAGUUCGAGCCAACCUUUUGUUGUAAGACUGUGCGCAAUCCUACUCUCAAGAAUGUCAGUGAAUACUGCAGACUAAAGGCUGACCCUCCCUGCUUGGAAGCUGUUAUCUUCAAGACUGAGAGAGGCCAUGUCUGCUGUGACCCCAAGGCACCCUUGGUAAAGAAGAUGAUGGAAGCCUUGGAUAAGAAGAAAGGUAGUGCUUUGCUGAGGGGGUAGAGGACUGGGUUCUUCAUUCGUCUUGUGAUCUCCUCUGAAGAAGCAUCGAGCCAUCCUUUACAUCCUAACAACACCUGCUACUGUGUUCUAUUGCAUUCUAAUCUAAUACUGUUCAAUCUGCAAUGUACUCUAUCGUUAAAACUCAAACGCAUCAGGCGCCACCAUACACACACACAUGAGAACGCCACACUUAAACUUGAAAUAUGGUGUAAUAUUUAAAGUGGCUGUAAAGCAAAACUGAAAAUGAGUUUUAAGUUCAUCACACCACAGAAGAAUGUGUUGUUAACUACCCAUCCAAAUUCGAAUGAAAAAAUGAAACACAGACAAGUAUGUUAAAUUAUGCUUUGAAAUCGUGAGAAAAUCAGGAGUCUUCUCUGCUUGAGACUGGGGGGGCAUGUCGCCUGAAGGAGCUGAAGCUCCGCCCCCUCGAAUUUAUUGAAUUUUGCAACAACAGCAACAACUAGCUAAAUAAAAUGCAGAUAUCAGAACAGACCUACCUGCAGUCUCUGAGUGUUUUAUGUGUUAAUUACUCUGUCUUUGCAUUGUACCAGCUGAGUAACAGACUGCAGGUCAUAUAAACCGUCUGUGAUCUGAUGUAGAUAGGUGGCUGUGACGUAGAUAGGUUGGGUUUUGCGGGUGAGAAACUGUUCGACGGUCUAACUCCACAUUUCAGUGCAACACAGUUUUAGAGCUUUGCACAUGCUUUCAGCAACUAAUUUCACACGUUUAUAAUGUACUGAGAAGCAAAUCAUGGAAUUUGCUUUACAGCACCUUUAAGUACUAUCUUAUAAAACUUUUGAACAUCUAUUUUUCUAGUAUGUAGUAUAUCUUGAAGCGUUGCCAAAUUUUUAAAUAGUUCAGGAAUGUUAUAUUACAUGUUUAAUAACUUCCAAAUGUUAUUAAAGAGAGUUACAUCUGAUAUGACACA